rnacentral:lncRNA from 10 species
AUGCCUGUAAUUAACCUCCUCCUGCUCAUUAUCCCCACUCUUAUCGCGAUAGCGUUCCUUACACUCAUCGAAUGAAAAAUCUUAGGCUAUAUACAACUAUGCAAAGGACUCAACAUUGUAGGUCCUUACAGACUGCUUGAACCAUUUUUUGAUGCAAUAAAACUUUUCACCAAAGAACCCUCGCGGCCCUUAACAUCUACUAUCACCCUUUAUAUUAUUGCUCCAAUCCUAGCCCUCUCUAUCGCUCUCCUCUUAUGAACCCCCCUCCCUAUACCAGAUCCUCUAAUUUUAAUGUAGGCCUCCUAUUUAAACUAGCCACAUCAAGCCUAGCCGUCUAUCUAUUCUAUGAUCAGGAUGAGCAUCUAAUUCAAAAUAUGCACUAAUCAGCGCACUAUGAGCUGUGGCCCACACGAUUUCAUAUGAAGUCACCCUAGCUAUUAUCCAGCUAUCAGUUCUACUGAUAAGCAGCUCAUUUAACUUACACAUACUCAUCACAAGAAUUCCUCUGACUGCUCCUAUCAUCAUGGCCCCUAGCCAUAAUAUGAUUUAUCCCCACACUAGCAGAAACUAACUGAGCCUCUUUUGAUCUAACAAAAGGAGAGUCAGAGUUAGUCUCAGGCUUCAACAUCGAAUAUGCCGCAGGCUCAUUUGCCCCCUUCUUUAUAGCAGAAUACAUGAAUAUUAUCAUAAUAAAUGCCCUAACUACUACUAUUUUCCUAGGAGCACUACACACUGUAUAUUUACCAGAACUCUAUACCACAAAUUUAAUUACCAAGACCCUUCUAAACCACUCUCUUCUUACAAAUUCGAAUGGCAUAACCCCAAUACCGCUAAGACCAACUCGUACAUCUUUUAUGAGAAAACUCCUACCACUUACAUUAGCAUUUUGCAGAUGCUAUAUCUCAAUGCUUGUCCUAAUUUCCAGCAUCCCACCCCAAACAUAG